rnacentral:tRNA from 1 species
GCCUCCUUAACUUAGUGGUAAAGUAGCGGUUUUGUAAACCGUCGACGGCAGUUCGAUUCUGCCAGGAGGCU